rnacentral:rRNA from 1 species
GAGUUUGAUCCUGGCUCAGAAUCAACGCUGGCGGCGCGCCUAACACAUGCAAGUCGAACGAGAAAGCGGGGGCAACUCCGCAAGUACAGUGGCGUACGGGUGAGUAACACGUGGACAAUCUACCUCUUAGUGGGGGAUAACCCUGGGAAACCGGGGCUAAUACCGCAUAAGCUCUUGCGAGGAAAGCAGCAAUGCGCUGAGAGAGGAGUCCGCGGCCGAUUAGCUAGUUGGUGAGGUAACGGCUCACCAAGGCAAAGAUCGGUAGCCGGCCUGAGAGGGCACACGGCCACACUGGCACUGAAACACGGGCCAGACUCCUACGGGAGGCAGCAGUGGGGAAUCUUGCACAAUGGGGGAAACCCUGAUGCAGCGACGCCGCGUGAGCGAUGAAGCCCUUCGGGGUGUAAAGCUCUUUCGGCAGGGAAGAUUAUGACGGUACCUGCAGAAGCAGCUGCGGCUAACUACGUGCCAGCCGCCGCCGUAAC